rnacentral:rRNA from 1 species
CCCUUAGAUGUCCGGGGCCUCACGCGCGCUACACUGAAGGAAUCAGCGUGGCUUUCUCCCUGACCCGAAAGGGUUGGGAAACCCGUUGAAUCUCCUUCGUGAUAGGGAUUGGGGCUUGAAAUUGUUCCCCAUGAACGAGGAAUUCCCAGUAAGCGCGAGUCAUAAGCUCGCGUUGAUUACGUCCCUGCCCUUUGUACACACCGCCCGUCGCUACUACCGAUUGAACGGUUUAGUGAGGGCCUCGGAUUGGUCUCGGCCCGCUCUUUACCGGGCGGCGCCGUUGGUCGAGAAGACGCUCGAACUUGAUCGUUUAGAGGAAGUAAAAGUCGUAACA